rnacentral:lncRNA from 1 species
AUUAAACCAGAAAGAUAUUCGUUGACGGACAAAAUGACAGUUGAGCUCGACAUAUUUUGUCUGUUCAUAGAAUAUGAGACUUUUUUGGCAAUAUGGAUCGCAUCCUAUCUAUCGGAGAAGACCAAAGCUGGAAGCGAAGGUGGAGCUCCAAGAUCUGAAAGCAAUCGAACUAUAUAAGUAAUCUCUACAAUCACAUAUCUCAUUGAUCGAUACUCGGCUUCUGCAGAUGAAAAGGAAAUCGGUUUGUUUCUUCGACUUCCAAGAAAUUGGAGAUCUUCCGAGGUAGAUAAAGAAAACACUGAUGAAUUUCCUUGUAUUAGGGCAAGAUCCCCAAUCUGAAUCACAAAAAGCUAGCAAAUUUAAAGAUAGAUUCUAGCUCGUGUAAAGCCUUAGACCCGGAUCAUUGAGAAGAUAUCGCAAACAAUGAAAAGUUGCAUCGAGGUGAGGAAGACGAGGAUCAUGCAUGUAUUGAAUGAGGUUUUUUUUACAAUAAAUGAAAUAUUUGAGCGAGUAUGAAUAAGAAAAAUUAAUUUUCCAAGUAUGCAACGAUAUAGAGUAGGAUCUGGAAGUUGUUCCCCUGAAUUGAGAAGAAGCUUGCAAUUGGGAUCAAGUGGAGAAGACGUUGCCUUGAGUUCCAGACAUCCAAAUUCUAAUAAUAGAUCAAGGGUAAAUUUUCUCUGACUUAUAAUUAAUCAUGUAGAUUCUCGUAGAGUUUUCAUGCCAAGAAAAAAUGAGCACUUCCCAGAUCUUUAAUUUUAAAUUCAGCAUCUAAAAAAUGCUUUAAAUCAUUGAGUUAUGCGUCAUCAUUGCCAGUUAAUAAUAUAUCAUCAACGUAAACUACAAUUACAGAAAUGGUACUCUCAGAUUGCUUAAAAAAAUAAGGAGUAACCAUUCAAAGAGUGAGAGUAUCCCUUAAAAUUAAGAGCUACAGUGAGUCGUCUAGCAUACUAUUAUCAGGAGGCUUAUCGAAGUCCAUAGAAUGAUUUUCUGAGUCUGCAAACAUGAUUAGAUGAAGGAGGUUCUAGGCCAGUAGAGAAUUUCAUAUAUACCUCCUCCUCCUCCUCUAGGUCACCAUGCAAAAAAGUAUUAUUGACGUCUAAUUGGUAUAAUCCCCAACCUCUCUUUACUGUAACUGCCAAAAAAUAUCUAAUGGUUGUCGUCUUAACCACUUGGAAAAAAGUUUCCGUGAAGUCAAUCCCUUCCCUUUGUGUGUCUCCUCUAAUCUUCAAUUUUUAUUUAAGCCUUUUUACACUUCCUUCAGACCUAUACUUUACCUUAUACACCUAUUUUCAAGGUAAGGCCUUCUUACUACUUGGAAGUUCAACUACUUCCCAGGUUUGAUUAUUGACCAAAUCACCAAUUUCGUUAUCCAUAGCUUUUUGCCAAUCAGAAUGCAUAAUAGCUUGAGAAUAUGUAUUAGGUUCAGUAAUGUUGUAGAGUGAAUAUAAAAUAUUUUGAUUGGUGGUGGAAAGUGCAGAAAAUAAAAUAGAAGGUGGUGAGAUUUUAGAAUCAAAACAAAAAUCUAAAAUGUUAGUAUAAAAUAUUGCAUUAACCACAUAAUCAUUAAGGUGAGCCGGAAGUUUGUGUGUGUUUUUAAGAUCUUCUGAGUUCUUGAAGAAUAGGAGAGACUUCUACUGAGUCGGGAUCAGGAAAAAUACAAUUACGUGGUGAUAAUCCGAAGAGAACUAGGUUCAAUUGAUGAGGACUCUAGUAAAACUUCAGGAGCAAGAAUUGUGAUACCAUAUUGUGCUGAAUCCUUAGAAACAGUAACAAGUUGCUCAAACCUUAUUUCAGGACUAUUAGGAUUGAAAAUAGGGAAUUCAUGUUGCUUAGGAGCAAAGGGAUAUAGGUUCUCAUGAAAAAUAAUAUUCUGGAAACUGAAUUCUCCUUGGUUUGUAGAUUAAGAACUUUAUAGCGCUUCUUUCGAAAAGGAUAUACCAGGAAGACACUGCCCCUGGCUCUAGGAUCUAAUUUGCUUUUGUUGUAUGAGAGAGUGGAUACAUAACAUAAACAACCAAAGUAAUUAAGGUGUUCAUAGGAAGGUUGCUUUCCAAAAAGGAUUUCAUAAAGAGUCUUGUAUCCUAUAAUCUUAGAGGGAAACCUAUUAUUAGGUAAGUUGCUGUAAAAAAUAAUCUCCCCAAUAUUGAACGGCAAAUAUGACUGAAAAGUAGUGCCCUACAAGACUCUAAGAGGUAUUUAUGUUUUCUUUCUGUCUAUUUUGUUGUAGAGCGUAAACACAUGUGGUUUGAUGAAUGAUUCUUUUGGUAACAAAUAAUUUUGAAUGUAUGGGACACCUCCCUAAUUCUAAAGCAUUGUCAGAUCUAAUGAUCUUUAUCUUUGAAUUAAUCUGUCUCUCUGACAUACUAAUAAAAGAUUUUAAAAUAUUGAAAGCAUUGCUCUUUGUACUCAUCAUGAAGGUCCAUAUUCUUCUACUAAAAUCAUCCACAACAAUUAAGAAAUAUUUGUAUCCUUGGUAAGUUGGUGCUCUAUAGGGCCCCAAGUGUCUAUGUGAAUUAAUUCUAAUACAUGUUUGGUUGAAAUAGAGCUCAAAGGAAAUGGUAACUUGGAUUGUUUGGCAAGGGACAGAUUCUACAAGGAUCUGAAACUUUGUUAUUUACUUUCAAAGAAAUAGUUUUAAUGUUCUUCGUAUUUGAAUAAAGAAUGUGCCCUAGCCUGAUAUUCCAUUAAGAUUCAUAUGAAGCAUUAUGAAAAGAAGAAUAAGCUAAAACUAAAACGGAUUGAAUUCGAAAUACAUAAUUCCUUAAUAGUGGUCUAAGGUAGUCAAGUUUGACUUGAGUUAACAUUUUGAAUAAACUAUCCCGAAACUAGAUUUUGAUAGUUCCAUUAGGUUUGUACGAUAAUUUUGAAAUUGGGAGUGUGUUCGGAUCGAAUUUUCGGUGAUCCGGGAGCAUUUCAACGCUUAAUGUUGAAAGUUGGUGCCUUGAAGGUUUUAGAAUUUUUAAAUUUGUUUUGAAGAAGAAAUUGGUGUUAUUGAUGUAUGUUUAUGAUUCAAAGCCUGGAAAUAGGUUCGUAUGAUGAUUUAUGACUUGUAUGCAAAUUUUGGCAUCAUACCGAGUUGUCUAACUAUGAUUCGAUGCGUUCGGAGCUAGUUGAAGAAGUUUAAAGUUCAUAAGAUGAUUAAUCUGGUUUUAGGGUACGAUUCUUAGUUUCGAUAUUGUUUUAUUCUUCUGAGACUUAGAGAAGGUCCAUAUCAUAUUUAUGAACUUGGUGGUGCAUUUGGACGGGGACCCGGGUGGCUCGUGUAUGUUUUGGACCACCCAGAGUUAAGUCCAAAAUGAAGAAUUUGCUGGUUCUAGUUUCCUUCUUCGCGAACAUGGAGGUUGUCUCGCAUUCACGAUGAAGGAUUGGGAGAUGGGCCAUCGUGUACUUCGCGUUAAAGAAGGCUUGGGACCACUGGCCUUUGCAUUCGCGAUGGAAGUCCGGCGUUCGUGUAGAAAGAACUAGGUCUGAAGGCUAGCUGAUCAUUGCCCUCCGCACUUGGGAAGGGAGGAACGCGUUCGCGAAGCUUAGGCUGGGUUAGCCUUCGCGAUCACGAGGACAAGGACGUGUUCGCAAAGAGUCCUUUCUAGGCAUGGCAAUUUUUUCCUUCGCGGUCACGAAAAGGGGAUGUGUAACUACCUGACCAGUAUUUUUGAGUAUUAGCAUUCCGUUCAGCUAUUUGGAGUUUUGAUUAGUUUCGUAUGAUGUAUUAUGACUUCUAUGUAUCGUCGGUUUUGGUUUUCAGGUGUUUCAAAAUUUGUUUGGAAGAAUGAAUUUCAUUUUUAAGUUGGAAGAGUUGACUAAGUUUGACUUUUGAGUAUUUGACCCCGGAUCAGAGCUUUGAUGGUUCCUUUAGGUUCGGAUUGUGAUUUUGGACUAGGGCAUAUUCCCGAAUUUGCAUUUGGAUAUUUGUAGAAGGUUUCAGCACUAAUCGGCA